AGUUAAGCUGCUUAUGCUUGGCUUACAGGAGGGCAGUAAUCUGGCCUCUCCCUUUCAGAGUUACUGUGCAGAUUAAAUACUGCACCACAAAGGCCUGGCACAAGAGUACAUGUUCACGUGUGUGGAACAUUCUGCUUUUUAAUCUUUACGGCAGUAUAAGGGCAUCACCUCCUGAGUAGGGACCACACUCAGAGUGAUCUUUCCAGGUGGAUGCUGUACAGCACAGAGCUCCCUUACGAUGCUGGGCAGCAGCCGUGAGCUGCGGGUCCAGCCCGUUCCUGGAUGGCCACCGCAAAGGCUUGUUCUCUGCAGCAGAAGUGAUGCUGACCUCUGAUACCAGGUGUGGUUCUUCCUUUUGUUCAGAGUACCAAUGCUACAACAUCAGGACCACUUUGUUAUCACUGAGCAACCAUUUUGGUCAUCAGAGCAUCUUGUGCCACAUUUAUCGAACUUCCCCCAUCCUGUGGUACGGCGUCAUCCAACAUCACAAGAAUCGAGUCCAGGCCCUUGCUUUGCCUCAGUGAGUGGGCUUUGCUCCAGGCCCACAUUCAUAAGAAAGCUGAGUGAUGAGAAGAAAACAGGAACACAAAGUUUUGACCAUGAUUGGUGUUUUAUGUAGAUUAUUGCCCCCCUCCUCCCAGGCUUUAUUCAUUCCCCACCUCCACGAUGUAUGCCUUACUAGGUACUAUUCAUUUACUUGGCAAUUCUCGUUGUACUGAUUUGCCUUUUUUUAAAAAAUGCACAAUUUUAUCCUCGAAGAAAACGCUACAUUAUUUCCAUAAAUCAGAGUUUGAUAUAUGGCUUCCACAUUUCCAAUAUGCAUCGAUUGUGAGCUGAUAUAAUAACAAACACGCAUCUGUAUACCACCCAAAGUCAUCUCGCAUGGCGACAAUCCUGUGCAUGCCAGCCUUCGGGAUGCUGCAUCUCAGCUAAGGCAGCCCACACUCCUGGGAGGAUGCUCUACAGACGAGAAUGAAGAGAUGGGAAAGCUUCCUUCCUGAGUUCCAGGCUGGGGAGGGUGAGGGAUGUUUACCUAUGGGUGUUUAAGCCUUUUCAACUCCAGUGCUUUUCACAUAUAUGUCUUUUUAAGUCCAAAGACGCCUUUAAAAAUAAAACUGUACGGGAGUCCAGUAUAUAAUACGAUGAAAGCAGAGAUUUGUGAUUAAAACGGGCCUGGGAAGUCAUGGCUGCUUUUGGGGGGCUUCCCUUCCACCAACGUUGUUCUAUUAAUGUCUCCUGACACCCUUUCUCAGAAGCUUGUGACUCAUAAGGACAUCAACAAACCCACAUCUGUUCCUGUCCCUUGGUCCUAUUUAAUUCAACUUUCUUUGUAGACUCCUGAGGGUCUGUGCUGUCCUUCCUGGUUCUUUGCUUUUGGACUCUGGCCACCUUGGUAUUUUGAAAUGUUUCGUCUUGACAUCUUGAAAUACCCUGGGAGUGCUGGCUUUCUAAGCCUUGCUCUGACCACAUCGCUCAUACAUCAGCCACUGAUAUAACUGUUGAGUUGAGAUCUGGCCUUACAGCAUGAGGAAGACCCCCAAAUGAUGUUCUAAGGAUAUUUCAGGGCAUCUCAGAGAGGACCAGGGCCAUAUUCAAGACUAAAGGAAGUGUGCAGUAGUGUUGGUAUGGUUGAAGGUACAAUGAGGUGGCCUAUCAUUAGAAAUAUUUACGACUUAUUGAAAUUCUGUCCAGAUCUUCCCAUGUUUUUAAACCAAUGGGUUCCUGUCUUACUGGGCCAAGCUCCCCUUAGGAGCUCCCACUUCAUAGGGAUCAGGACCUCUAAGUUAGGGGAUCAAACGAGCUCAGCAAUGAGAGGAGAAAGCAAGCUGAGGUCAGGAGCCAGGCAACUGCUGGGAUGAAGAUGUGGGCUGUGAGUGAUCUGUGACUAUGACUCCAGAGUGACAGAGACACUGCUGAAAGGAACAGUGUCUCAAGACCAUGGUAGAGAUGGGCUAAGACCUCUGGCAUCAUAGCAUGGAUGGCAGCCAUCAUCUCAGAGGCAACUGGCUCAACCACUACUCAGAAUGCAAGGGGCCCUGAAAAAAGACAGAUAUCUGGGGAAUAAAUGAGUUUGGGGUGAGCAGGACACUCACAUUGCAUUUUGGGCCUAUGUCUUUCUCCCACACCAGUGAAACCCCAUAAGAGAAACGAUCUUCUAGUUUUCCUGCCCACUUUGUGCCCUCUUACACACUGGGCACAAUUACAUACCUCUGCACAAAUCCAACCAAGUCAGCCAACUCUAGCAGGGGGACACUUGCUGUGUACUUCUGCUUAUUUAUCCUAAGCCAGACUGUCAUCAAGAAAGAGAGUCCAGCAGUGAACAGGAGAUGCUCAUGACUCUCCAGGAGGGCUUUUGCUUUGCAUCAAGAUUCCAGUCGCAACAUUCCCUGAGCGCAACACUUCCUGCACGUGAAUGACUAGAGAGGGGAUCCUCUGCUUCUGACCUUCUUCCCAAGGUUUGCUAUAGUUGUCUGAAUGCUGGCGCCUGGCUGUAGAGCCUUUAGGAGAUGGGGCCUACCUGGUGGAAGGUCCCUGUGUGUGUCAUAGGUCCCCAUCCAACCCCCAUCCUUCACCAGGUGGACAGCUGUUACCUCAUAUGCCUGCUUCUGAAGAGAGGGCAGCUCCCACCACUACACUGUUCAUACUGGGGUGGGGGAGUGGUAGAGGGGAUCGACAACUGGAAUCUCUAUGACCAGGAGCCCAAAUAAUCUGCCCCUCCUGAGGUGGCUGGCAGGGGAUCUAUUGUAGUGACUAUUAUCCUUUUCAGCCACCUCCUGAAGGAUGUAUGCCUCAGCAGCUCAGACUGCAGAGCUGGCUGGCCCCUCCCCCUUUAGGGUCGGCUUUGUAAGGGUCUUGAGUCCUUCAGUCUCAGUCAGAUGUUUAUGUACCCACAAGCCUUCACGAAACACCCAGGACAGACCUGCUCCGUACUACUCAGACAUUAUUUCAUUUAAUCCCCCAUGACAAUUAAAUUGUCUAGGUCUCUGGGUAAUCAAUAUAAAUCUAGAGACAUUUAAGUGGCCAGCUAGAAUGUAACUGAGCCCCUCUUUGUGUCUCUUCCUCCUGUCUGUUAGAAUAACUGGAUACAUUGUGGUCCCCAGUGCUUAAAGAGACACAUUGUAUAUAGAGAGGGAAAGAGAGGAGGAUUAAUGGUGUUUUAUGGAAGGGCUGAAUCCCACCUGACUAGUUUAUUAGAAUUCUUUGAGAAGUGAACUAUAUAGGGAGAUAAAUGAUGACUUUCACAAAAAGCCUUUGUUAAGUUUCCAUCCCAAAGCCUAUUAAUAAAAUUGAUUCAUUAUAGAAUUGGGCAGAAGUGGGUGGCAAGUAGGAGGGAGCCUAUUUUUAUAUGGAUAGAGAACUGGCAUAGAGACAAGAAGGAACGUGGAGAUAACGGAGAACUAAGGUUCUCCAGGAAUUGCUACUGAGUUAGGUUUGACUCUAGCUCAGUCCACAGGCACUGAGCACACAGUUUGUGCGAGCCCUGAUCCAAACACAGGGCAGUUCAAGUAAGAAAGAUUCUGCUUAGCUCUGCACUUAGAGGAGCCAAGGAAGGCAGUGCUGAGAGACCCUCAUGCUGGGACAGGAUGCUCUUCAGGGGAGCUGCAGAAGGUGGCUAGGGAGCGAAAGAUCUGCUGGCUAUGGUCAACAGGCUGGUAAUCGUAUCAGUUCUGUCAUGGACUCUCUGUGGAACACUGGGAAGGUCCCUAACCCUCCUCAGUCUCAGGUUUUUCUUUUUUUAGUUGUAGAGUGACAUGUUGGCUUGCAUGGCCUGGGAAGGUGGACUGCUCUGGGUGGAGGAAACACCAAAGGGAGAGUUUCCCUUUCUCAUAACGGAAAUGCCCUCUCUAUCUCUGUUCUGCGAUGGGAUUUCUCUCCCUCGCCCCUCCCCCAUCUAUGAGGCAGAGAGCCACGAGGCUGUGG